rnacentral:miRNA from 1 species
GACGUCGAUAUUCGACGUCAUAAACACGAUCAACUUUGAUGUUUAUGACGUCGAUAGACGACGUCAUAAACACGGUCAACUUUGGUGUUUAUGACGAUAUACGACGUCAUAAACACGAUCAACUUUGGUGUUUAUGACGUCGACAUAGGACGUCAUAAACACGGUCAACUUUGGUGUUUAUGACGUCGAUAUACGACGUCAUAAACACGAUCAACUUUGGUGUUUAUGACGUCGAUAUUCGACGUCAUAAACGCGAUCAACUUUGGUGUUUAUGACGUCGAUAUUCGACGUC